rnacentral:rRNA from 1 species
CCUACGUGAGGCUGCAGUGGGGGAUAUUGCACAAUGGGGGAAACCCUGAUGCAGCGACGCCGCGUGAGUGAAGAAGUAUUUCGGUAUGUAAAGCUCUAUCAGUAGGGAAGAAAAUGACAGUACCUGACCAAGAAGCCCCGGCUAACUACAUGCCAGCAGCCGUGGUAAUACGGGAGGGGCAAGCGUUAUCCGGAUUUACUGGGUGUAAAGGGAGCGUAGACGGUUAUGUAAGUCUGUAGUUAAAGCCCGGGGCCCAACCCCUGGACUGCUUUGGAAACUGUGUAACUUGAGUACAGGAGAGGUAGGCGGAAUUACUGGUGUAGCGGUGAAAUGCGUAGAUAUAAGGAAGAACACCGGCAGCGAAGGCGGCCUGCUGGACUGAAACUGACGCUGAGGCUCGAAAGCGUGGGGAGCAAACAGGAUUAGAUACCCUUGUAGUC